GAUGAACGCUAGCUACAGGCUUAACACAUGCAAGUCGAGCGAGCGGAACCAACAGAUUUACUUCGGUAAUGACGUUGGGAAAGCGAGCGGCGGAUGGGUGAGUAACACGUGGGGAACCUGCCCCUAAGUCUGGGAUACCAUUUGGAAACAGGUGCUAAUACCGGAUAAUAAAGCAGAUCGCAUGAUCAGCUUUUGAAAGGCGGCGUAAGCUGUCGCUAAGGGAUGGCCCCGCGGUGCAUUAGCUAGUUGGUAAGGUAACGGCUUACCAAGGCGACGAUGCAUAGCCGAGUUGAGAGACUGAUCGGCCACAUUGGGACUGAGACACGGCCCAA
rnacentral:rRNA from 1 species